ensembl:misc_RNA Metazoa_SRP Metazoan signal recognition particle RNA
GCCUGUAGUACCAGCUACUCGGGAGGCUGAGGUGGGAGGAUCGCUUGAGUCCAGGAGUUCUGGGCUGCAGUGCGCUAUGCCGAUCGGGUGUCCGCACUAAGUUCGGCAUCAAUAUGGUGACCUCCCGGGAGCGGGGGACCACCAGGUUGCCUAAGGAGGGGUGAACCGGCCCAGGUCGGAAACGGAGCAGGUCAAAACUCCCGUGCUGAUCACAAUUAACUCAAAAAGACAGAGAAAAAUUUGAACUGCCUUAUAACAAUGAAAAGAUUAUUAUUUAUUUUA